UGAGGACGCCCCGCAUGCUCAAGCUGCUCUGAGUCACAGAGCGGGCUGAGGCGCUGCCGGCAGAUUCGCCGCCGGCUCCUCCGCUCCUGGAACCGCUCCCCCGUACCGUGCCGCCCACCUAUCCGCACACCUCCGCCUCAGAUACCAAGCCCGAAUUUUCUCCGGGGCGCAAGCGGCUGGGGGACCGUCGGGGAGCGAUCGGCAGAUUCGCCGCGCGGGGCCCGGCGUGCCGUUGGAGGGAAAAGGCGGGGAAGCGCCGCGCCGCCCCGCAGCGGCCUCCAGGGCCCCGCAGCGCCGCCCCCGCACGGCCGGGCCUGCGCGGCUCCUCUCGGCGCUCGCGCUGAGGCCCCGCGGUCCCGCUACCCCGGAGAGCUCAUCCGUAGCCCCGCUCCCACAGCGCACCGCCCGGCUGUGCGGCUUAAGGCCGCGCGGUUAGAGCAGGGAGCGGCCUUUGUCAUUAUAAAUUUCUACGUGGAUCCACAGAUUGCUGUCAUCAACAUAUUAAAUAUAUAACUAAAUGCCUUUCUGAGACCCGUGACCACAAAUUUAAAGAGUUAAGCAACGAGAAACACGUGGAACAAGCAAAGUAGGUAUGGUUUGACCAGAACCACAGAGAACAAUGUCAAAGCAGGCACUGCAGGAAGGAGAAAUCAAAGGUCAUUUUCAAAACAGGAGGAACAGAAAUCACGUAUGACAUAAGAAAAUCAGAAAAGAUCUUCCUUUGGCUUUUCGUUGUUUCUGAGAGGCAUUUAGGGAAAAUUCAGAGGUCCAGAUACUAAAAAGGCACUGGUACGUAUCCAAGCAAUGUACAGAAAGUAUGAGAUGCUUUCCUGUAAGAUGCAUGGCAUGCUGGCAGGCCAUGGAAACCACAGCUGUGCAGUUCCUGCUCAGUUCCAAGCUGUUGUGGCUGCAGCAGUUGGUCCUGGGCAGAGACUUGGACUGCGAGCCUCAGCCCCUUCACCUGUAUGGGCAGCUCUAACUCGUGGCCUUUGCUCAAACAUAGCACAUAUAGCAAUCAAUAAAUAACACGCAAGUUUUUACAGCUUUGCAAUGGAUCCUUUUAAAAAUUAGACCCAUUUCCCUGUAUUUCAUAGAGGACUAAAAAUAUUCAUAGGAUUUUUUUUCCCUUUUCCCUGCUACGUUUAGGAAGUAAAACACAAGACAGUUCCAUUUUGCUCCUAACCACUUCUACACAUUUCAUGUGUUUCUCCAGUUAAUCCAAUGGCACAGGGAAAGGCAUAUUUAAGUGCUUGUAAGGCUGAAUUUGGCAAUAUUUGCACAACAGAAUCUUACCCCAGAUAUUUGGAACACAACAUCAGGCCUAGAUUUUGUAGCCCUUACUCACACCUUAUCUUUCUCAACCCCAGAUAACAAAAACCUCAGCUUUUUUGUUGGUGCUUAGUGAAGGCAAUCAGUUCCUAUUCUUACACUGCAUCCACAGACAGUGGAUGCUCUUAAGGGAAAGUUCUAUCUUUUAAUCUUUUGGCACAUUGAGAGAUGUAAACUAUUAGAGAAAACAUUAUUGAAGAGCACUUUAAAUCCAAACCUCAACACAGGCAGGACAAUUCUAUGGCACAGCAUGCUGAUGAGAAGUGCAUACAGUGCUGCAUAACUGCAGCUUUGCAGACUGGCCUUCCUAUGAACUCCUCCAAGGUAACUCUCUAAUGGGCUCUUACAGUUUGUGGCUGGCAAGAGCCAUUCACAGCUAUGCAUACCUGGGGGAUACACUAGGAAAAGCAAGCACAAAAAAGCAGCUGAGGAGCAGGUCUCUUCAUCUCCUUUUGCCCUGCAAAGCCUUCUCCUUUGCUUGCCCCUUGGAGCUCUAAACCAGCAGUGGGCUUCCAGCACCAUGCCUGCCACCAAAGUCACUGCACAGUAACGGGAAGGCGAUUCAUCAGCAAUUGCAAAGCUUUGUGAGAUGGUCGGAUGCAGGGUGUGCUAACAGUGAAAAGAACUGCUGUUCUGAGUUUGCAACCCAUUCCUCAUUCAGUUCCCAGUGUCCUAAUAAAGCAGCAGCAGAAGAGAACACACAGGAUUGUGCUAGACAGAGGAGUAAGGGUGAAGGAACAGAAGGCAAUUGAGCCAUGCUUGACAAAGUUGUGGUCUGUGCUGUUCAGCCCCACAGUCAGCACACACGUGUUUUAGGGCUGUGCUACAUCUCAAAUCCACACCUUAAGGACAUUGGAUGACAAUGCUGAGAUGCGUUGGUCUCUGGUAACAGGCUGGCAGAGGUGUGCAGUUCCAGAGCACAGAGGGAAGGGUUUGCUGUAAUCCCACCUCAGGAACCCACAGAAGCAGAGAGAAUGCUUCAACUUUGUGUGCAUCAAAUGAAGGUCACUGCAGCACUCCAGAAUGGUACCUCUGUGGAGCAGGUGAAGGUUGUGGGGAAUAAAAGGUGCAACAGCAUUAAAAAUACACGUUCCAUGUCCUUCACCCUGCAUGACACAGGCUGUCACACAGGAGAAGAUGAAGAAAAGUGCUCAACGUUUUAAAAGAUGAAUCCCAGCCAUGUGCUGGAGCACAGACUGCGCCGUGCUCCCACUGCUGCUGUGCUGGAAGAAAGAGGGCUCCUUUUCUUACUCCUUCCAUUCCUCCCUCCAAGCCAUUGCAGCAAUGCUUAGUAUGAAUGUACACUAAAGAGAGGACAGUUCACUAUCUUUGAAAACAAACAGACAAAAAAAAAGGGGUAGAAAGUAGAAGCAGCUGGGGCAGUCAGAGCAUCAGCAGCACGCCCAGCCCGGCGGGGACGUCUCUUUGAUAUUAAUAUAAUCCCCCCUCCAGGAAGCAGCAGCACUUCCAUCACCAGUGGAUGAGGACAUCAUCUUCUCGAUCAGGACUCUGGAAAACAAACAGAGGUGAAUUUGGGUUUUUUCCUUCAACAAGCACCAUUGGGCCACAUCGUUUUAGGGCAGCACAGAGGAGAACAAACCAAAACAGGCCAACAACAAAACCAAAGCAACAGCUCCUCCUGGUUGGACACAAAACUUAAACCAGAGCUUUAAGGAACAGAGGAUCAGCUGUCUGGGUACAAGCUGCUUGACCAGGGGCAGCAGAACUUCUGACCUCUCAGAAUUCAGUUUCCCUUCAGGAGAUUCACUUGCAUGUUAUUGCUGCUAUCUGUUACUCACUGACAGCAUCUCCCCUUACCUCGGCCAGCGCUGUCUGAAGGAGGGAAUUAACUCUUGCUGUGUGCCCCAGUCGCUGUUCCUACCUCAUAGACUCAUUAAUGUUCUUGUUCUCCUUGACGGAUGUUUCCACCCAACCAGAAAAACCAUUUUCUUUGCUGAAACGAUCCACUUCUUCUCUUGUCACUGCCCACGGGGAAAGGUCGCACUGUAAAACAGGAGACAGCCAGGUGAGGCUCAGCCUUUCCAUUCCCAAGCUGGGAGGGGAACUUCUCCUCUUGCCCAUUCAGUGUUGGGCAGUGGGAGGAGGGCUCAGCCCUUUGCAUCUCCGUGAUCCCAACCUGACCUGGAGUUCUCAGGGCAAGGUUCUUAGCGGGAUGUUGCAAGCAGCAAUACAUUUAUCUCAUCUGAGAUCCUGACACACCUCGGUUAAGCACGCAUGGAAUGGAAGUUCCUCCAGAACAGGACAAGAAAGCAUUGUCACUCAUCCCCAACCUGCCAGCAGCAGGAUAGUGUGAGCGGCACAGUGCUGCUGGGGAACUCACACUGCUGGCACUGGGAGGAGUGGGAGCACCUGUGCAAGGAGAGCCCAUGUUAGUGUGAGCACCUAUAGGCACACAGCUGCUCCCAGUUCAGGCACAGCUGCUGCUGGGGAAAGCAUUAUUUGUGAAGAAGCAGAGAAGAAAAGCUGCUCUCCCACCCACCCUUUGUGUUUCUGAUUCAGCUCCAACUUCAGGCUCUCCCAAACCAGGCAGAUCUCAGGC
rnacentral:lncRNA from 1 species